rnacentral:rRNA from 1 species
GGCGCACGGGUGANUAACGCGUGGGUAACCUACCCUUUGAUUUGGGAUAACUCCGCGAAANCGGGGUUAAUACCGAAUAAUAUUCCGAUUCCUAAGGGGGUCGGAAUCAAAGGUGGCCUCUGCAUGCAAGCUAUCAUCAAAGGAUGGGCCCGCGUACCAUUAGCUAGUUGGUAGGGUAAUGGCCUACCAAGGCGACGAUGGUUAGCUGGUCUUAGAGGAUGGCCAGCCACACUGGAACUGAGAUACGGUCCAGACUCCUACGGGAGGCAGCAGUGGGGAAUCUUGCGCAAUGGGGGAAACCUUGACGCAGCAACGCCGCGUGGGUGAUGAAGGCUUUCGGGCCGUAAAGCCCUGUCAGGCGGGAAGAAACAUAUCGGUGCUAAUAUCACCGAUGUUUGACGGUACCGCCGGAGGAAGCACCGGCUAACUCCG